GGUUGUUGAAUUUGAUGAGGUGAUGAACAAUAAAAAGGUGGUAGAACUGGUACCAAUCAAUUGGGUUAUUGAGAACGAUAGUAUUGCUUGUGGCCACCAAAAAAAGACGAAGAUAAAAUCAAUAAGUUGGUUGAACUUGAAGUCGGACCUAACGACACAUGGAUAAAGUAUCCAAUUAAGAUUAUUAGCAAAGCUAAGGAUUAUUCUCAAGGAUUACGCAGAUUGAAAAAAUCAUUUAAGACAAAUAAUGUUGACACCACUGAGAAUGAAUCACAAAAUGAUCAAAAUAAUGAACCUAUACUAUUGAGUUCCCAAAAUGUCUCGAUUGUUGUCUGAAAAACAGCCUUUAAACAAAGGUAAAAAAACCUAAAACCAAAAUGAAUUGAGAGAUUUUGUAAAUGACAUAUCGGAAUACGAGGAAGUUGAAGAAAUUCUUUCCAACAAUAAUUUAGAAACUCAGAAGCGUCAUCACAAUGCGGUUGAAAGUACAUCGGAACCAAAAGGUAUCACAAACUAUGAUGACCUGGCAAAAUAUUUAGAAAAUGUCAUUCGAUUGGAAAUGUCAAAAGUAAAAAAAAAAGCAUCAAUUAUACCAUUGGACAACAAUUUAAAAAAAUUCUUGAAGUCGUCCAUCAGUCAGAAGGUGCACCAAAACAAUAUGAAGCUUGGAAUACUAUUGGUAAUGACUUGCCGUACGGAAACUUGGAAGAUUUUGUAGCCUUCGAUGAGUCUUUAAAAGUUGAUGAAGGAAAAUCCGAUGCACUGAUCGAAAUAUUUCAAAUGGUGUCAGCCGGAUGUACAAAAUACGAUAAGGAUGUUACGAAAAUAAUGGAAAACCUAAUGAAAAGAGAAGUUCAACUGGAAUACAGUGGAUCUGGAAAGAAAAUUAAAGGUGUAGGGAAAAUAAGUUUUAAGGAAACUGAAACUUACAAAAUAAUGGAAAAAUUUUUGCUGGCAAAGUACAGGGUUUCAAAUGAGAAAAUAGCAGUGUUAACCGCUGUUAGUGCUUAUUUAUCCGGAGCUAGAGACAGAGAAGGAGGACGCGCUCAGCGCAACAAAGAAAAUUAAUGUUUAUUUAUUUCUUAAUUUAAAAUUAUUUAAUGUAUAAGUUAUAAGUAUGUAUAAGCAUAUUAAAAAAAGUGUUAUUGUCAAUAUAUGUAAACCAUUAUUAAUCCUAGUUUUCAAUUAAUUAUUAAUUUAAUAUAAAUUAAUUGGUUAUUAAUUUAAUUUAAUAUAAAUUAAUUAAUUAUUAAUUUAAUUUAAAUUAAUUAAUUAUCAAUUAAUUUUAAG